GCUGUUUAGUCCAAAGCACUAAGUAUAUAACCGAGGGUUUAUUUCGCUGAGGUACGGGAUCGUGAUAAAAUGAUUAACAGCAGGCGACGACUCAGUUUGGUUACGAGAGAAGAAGACCUAGACCUAUACGCUCUAGUUUGGUUAAGAAAGACGAAGACGUAGACCUAUAUGCUAUAGUGGGUGACAGACCAUUGAACAAGUUGAUUGAUCGAUUGACUGGUUUUAUAUAAUGCAAGUGAAGCAUGUAGGCUCUUUGAACCUAGAACAAAUCGUAAGUCAGGUGAGAGAGCAUUGAACAUCACUUACCAAGACUAUACAACAACAGGUCCCGACAACAAAAUAUCGCCUGAAGUGAAGAUCGCACAAGAAGAAAGCAAAUGUAAAGUAAAUCCAAAGAUUCUCCUAUUCUGCAGGAGCUACGAUACUGACGAAAAAAAACACUAAAAGACAAUUAUUAUAAAAUAUAAGAAGCAACUUAUUAAAAAAAAACGUACAAGGGCCCGCCAGAGAGGGAAGCAUCCCUGUAGAGGGCUGGACAUGAAGCCAAACAAAGUAAUAAUCCUGCGUCUCUAGUAUUUUUUAGAACCAUAAAUAACACGCUAAAAUGGAGAUAAAGAACGUACGCAAAAGUGUCGGCUUGAGUCGCGUUAUUUUAUAUAAUAAAUAGGGACACCUAAUCCAGUUUUGGAGAGGAAUCUCGCGUUGAGGGGAUGAAAGAGGAGCCGUUACAAAGACAGAGAUCUCGACUCAAGUCAUCACCAGAGUUACCAUAACAUAAACAAUAAUUUGAGUACCCUUGGAUCAUGUGUCCUUUAUAGCACUUUAAAUGUCUAAUAAGUGAAAUGUAUGUUAAUCUCGGUUGGUCUGUUAAUUAAUCAGUUACACAAACUGUGACUUUCUCUUGAGGUAUUUGAGAUGGGCACCAAAGGCAUACUAUUUACCAAUCAAGAGUGGAGGUGACAAACAAGCUCAUUUCAUACUGGUCCUAACUAUGUUAUGUUGUCAAAGAAAAAGCCUCUCAGAGUCAGCAGUUUCCCCCUUAGAGGAAGAAGAUCGAGAGGGAGACAGAAAAUUGGAUGACAAGAUAAAGUGAAGGAAGAUAUGGAGAGAAGAGGUCUGGGGGAUGAUGAUGCCUUUGAUAGAAGGCAGUGGAGAAGGCGCAUCAGGCAACUGACCCCAUAAUGUAGGGAUAACAGUGGGAAAGAAGAAUGAGAAGAGUUUCCUUCCAGGAGCAGCCGAAUUUAUGUAUACACCCAUAGACGUACUACCAGACACCUGCCCAACAAUCUACAAUCCUUCAAAAAAUGAAUAACUUUUGGUUAAUAGCAUCUGUAUAAAGUUGAAAAUCUACCCAUAGAAGAAUUGUCUGCCAGAAAUCAUAACAUCCCUUAUACCUGCUGGUAUUGUCAGGCCAGCUUUGUCUAACAGACGACAUCAAGCUUUGUCUGAUCUGUCGCCGACUUUCCUUUCAUGCUAAGAUUUUGUUUUGAGAGGAAUUUUAUUAUGACUUCUGCACCUAUGCAGCAUAUUCUGGGGGUUAUAUUUGUAUGUACAGAUGAUAUGUAUCAGGUCUGAAUAUUCGUCAGUUUUUAGAUAAUAUUUCAAAGAUACCUUUGUAUCUAUGAGAUGGCAGUCACUGGAAAGGUUCUUGGGAAAUAAUAAAUUUUUUUCUAUAUGCUGUGCAAUGACUGCAGGGGUAUAUUGCUAAAAUUCAUUUUUCAUACAUUCAACUUCCCUGUCAGAUAUAUACUUAGCUAUAGACUCCGU